rnacentral:rRNA from 1 species
GCAAGUCGCGCGUGAAAGCCUCCUUCGGGGGGCGAGUAAAGCGGCGCAAGGGUGAGUAACACGUAACCAACCUACCCUCGAGAUCGGAAUAACCAGUGGAAACGCUGGCUAAUGCCGGAUGGCCCAGACAGGUAGCAUUUCCAGUCUGGUAAACGGUGGCGCAAGCUGCUGCUCGUGGAGGGGGUUGCGGCCUAUUAGCUUGUUGGUGGGGUAACGGCCUACCAAGGCGAUGAUGGGUAGCGGGUCUGAGAGGAUGAUC